rnacentral:rRNA from 1 species
AUUGAACGCUGGCGGCAGGCCUAACACAUGCAAGUCGAGCGGUAGCACAGAGAGCUUGCUCUCGGGUGACGAGCGGCGGACGGGUGAGUAAUGUCUGGGAAACUGCCUGAUGGAGGGGGAUAACUACUGGAAGCGGUAGCUAAUACCGCAUAAUGUCGCAAGACCAAAGUGGGGGACCUUCGGGCCUCAUGCCAUCAGAUGUGCCCAGAUGGGAUUAGCUAGUAGGUGGGGUAACGGCUCACCUAGGCGACGAUCCCUAGCUGGUCUGAGGGGAUGACCAGCCACACUGGAACUGAGACACGGUCCAGACUCCUACGGGAGGCAGCAGUGGGGAAUAUUGCACAAUGGGCGCAAGCCUGAUGCAGCCAUGCCGCGUGUAUGAAGAAGGCCUUCGGGUUGUAAAGUACUUUCAGCGGGGAGGAAGGCGAUAAGGUUAAUAACCUUGUCGAUUGACGUUACCCGCAGAAGAAGCACCGGCUAACUCCGUGCCAGCCGCCGCCGUAAGAC